rnacentral:misc_RNA from 1 species
UUGCUUUUGCUCUAGUGGCCGGCGGGAUCACCAAAACCCUGCAAAAGCCCUAGCGGGUAAGAUUAUUUCACCUUCAAGCAAUUUGUUAGCCUCUAAUGGCUUCUAUUCUUCGGAGAUCUCUGCAAAACAAAUUUCUAUCAGCGGCAAGAAUUACCACAAUCCUCAGCUCUAAACCUAUACCUACAUCACCUUUGUUCAAUCAUCCUUCUUCCAGUGGGCUUGGUCAAAUCCCACUUUUUCUUCAAGGAGGAACAUCGGAUUCAAAACCGAAUGUUGGGUUUUACCCAAGCUUUUCUUUUGGGCAUUUCCUAAAUCCCAUUUCUCCAAAUGGGUUGAUUUCAUCUGUGGAAGAUAGCGCUGUUGAUGAUGAUUCGCGUAAGAUUUGGGCUGAUAGUGUGAAGAAGAA